rnacentral:lncRNA from 1 species
GAUAGGGCUGCGACCCAGACCUCCCUCUUGCGUCCUAUAUAUAGUGGGGGAGAGGGAGGGGCUGAACACACCAAUUACCACGCCCAAGUGGCAUCCCUACCUCUCCCAUAACUCUGUUUUCUCCUCAGAUAGGUUACGGUUGCACUUGGCGAAGCCCUGGUGGCACUGCUCCACCAUGCCGUCGUGCUGGUUAAGAUCCCGUCUACUACUCCUUCUUCUCUUGCUGGAUCAAGAAGGAGGAGACAUCAUCGAGCCAUAUGUGUGCUGAACGCGGAGGUGUCGUCUGUUCAGCGCUAGAUCGGGACAAAUCGUGAUCAGCUCACGGGACGGAUCGUGAUUGGAUUGUGAAGACGUCCGACUACAUCGACUGCGUUAUAUACGCUUCCGCUUAGCGAUCUACAAGGGUAUGUAGAUGCACUCCCCCUCUCGUAGAUGGUCAUCACCAUGGAUAGAUCUUAUGUGUGUGUAGGACAUUUUUUGUUUCCCAUGCGAUGUUCCCCAACACUUAUACACGACGCUCCUCCCCCUGACCCGUGGGCCCUUGUGUGAGAGCCCCCUUGCAUCUUGGUGGAGAAACGGGCAUGCAUUUACUUGUGGGGGCCUGGUUGCACUUGGGCGGUCAUUUUUCCCCGUCCAAUGCACUUUCUCUUUGCACUGCAUGCACACACCUUGUGCACUCUGUGCUAUUACUUUCCUGAACUGCAUUCAACUUUUGAUUUAGGAGGAGCUUGUGAAUCAUAAUUUUUUAGAAAUAUAUAUAUUGAUGAGCAUUCACUUUCGUGAACUGCAUUCACCUUUUUUAUGAUGGUUUUGUGAAUCGUAUUAUUUUAGAAAUAUAAAUAUCAAUUAGGAUGUUUGUUGCGCUGGUGAACUGUAAUUUUUUUUUGUAGACUGCAUUAUUUUUGUUCAAUUCACAAGGUGUACUUAUCGGUCUUGGAGUACUGGUACUAUUAUCCUUAUACUGUCAGUGCCCAACAUGACUAUUUCAACAUGACAUGGUUGCUAUGUAAACAUAAUAGGAAGCAAGCUAGAUAACUUGUUCAAUCAUGUAAACAAACUACGUACUUGACAUAAGCAAACUUGUUUGACCUGAUACACACGACAUUAGGAAAUUGGUUCAUUCUAACAGAAACAAAUUACAAACUUGAAACAACAUAAAGGAUAAGCACAAGUUAAAGCAACUCCAAGGCCAGAUUUUGAUGUUUUUCAACAUCAAAAUCCUCCGUAGUAGUAGCCAUAAUCAUUAUCCUCCUUCGCCUCCGCCUCUUUUUCCUUUGAGCACUCCAGACCUUCUGCCAUGUUUUUAAUUCUCUUCCAUGACUCAUACGUGGCGUAUGCAUCUAUCGCUCCAUAUUCUAUGAGGUAAUCCGGUAGCAGGCUGAUCCCCCAAAGUUUAUGGUCUUCUUCCGAGUUGAUCUUGUACUUCAUGUGUUUGUAUAAUGGGUGGAUCACGCUGUCUGCAACAACACCCAAAGAGUGGGACCUCUUUCCUCCCACGAAUGGAACUCUCCAUUUGCGCUGCAUGUCGACGUACUUGUUAGGGUUGAUCUCCAAACUAGAUUCCUUUAGCAUCAGCUUGUCACCUUCAGUGCUGAAGCCAAUAAAGGUGCACAACUUCUCCUCCUGCAGGAGCGGGCAAAGUCACUUGGGACUGCAAUGGGGAAGACAUAUUGAAGAUGAAUACAUCAAGUACUUUAUUUAGUAUAAUUCAUGGAUGAAUAAAUUUUCAAAAAUUCA